CCUACGGGAGGCAGCAGUGAGGAAUAUUGGUCAAUGGGCGCGAGCCUGAACCAGCCAAGUCGCGUGAGGGAGGACGGCCCUACGGGUUGUAAACCUCUUUUGCCGGGGAGCAACGGGCGGCACGUGUGGCGCCACUGAGAGUACCCGGAGAAAAAGCAUCGGCUAACUCCGUCCCAGCAGCCGCGGUAAUCCGGGGGUUGGGAGCUUUAUCCGGAUUUUUGGGGUUUAAGGGGUGCGAAGGCGGAUCGUUAAGUCAGUGGUCAAAUUGGGGGGUCAAACCCCUUCCCGCCAUUGAAACUGGCGCUCUUGAGUGGAAGAGAAGUAUGCGGAAUGCGUGGUGUAGCGGUGAAAUGCAUAGAUAUCACGCAGAACCCCGAUUGCGAAGGCAGCAUGCCGGCUUCCGACUGACGCUGAAGCACGAAAGCGUGGGGAUCGAACAGGAUUAGAUACCCGGGUAGUC
rnacentral:rRNA from 1 species